rnacentral:rRNA from 1 species
UGAGUUAUGUCAUGUUAUCGAUAUGUGAAUACAUAGCAUAUCAGAAGGCACACCCGGAGAACUGAAACAUCUUAGUACCCGGAGGAAGAGAAAGAAAAUUCGAUUCCCUUAGUAGCGGCGAGCGAAACGGGAAGAGCCCAAACCAACAAGCUUGCUUGUUGGGGUUGUAGGACACUCUAUACGGAGUUACAAAGGACGACAUUAGACGAAUCAUCUGGAAAGAUGAAUCAAAGAAGGUAAUAAUCCUGUAGUCGA